AAACUCUCUCCAUUGGAGGUGAUCUUAGUACGUAAGAAGCAAAUAGCUAAACAUCCACGAAGCAGACAAGAACAUUCGGGUUUCUUUCAAUGUCUUGCGUGAACAUUGUCGUCAAGCCGUCCAAAUCACAAUAAAAAUAAUGAAUCUUGUUAUUAAUUACUGAGCAUCGAAUCAAAUCUCAACGUUAUGAAUAGAUCAUUAACCUAAAAAUCCACCAACCCGUGACGCCUCUCUGAAACAACAUUCACACGCCCGUGAGUUUUAAGAACCAUGCACACGUGGCGAUCCAACAUCUUCCCAAUUUUAUUUUAUGUCAUAUACAAUCUCUAAUUCUCUAUGUUAUAUAGAGUUUUUCGUAAACUAUAAUAUACGUCC